GCUUAGAAGCAGCCACUCAUUAAAAGAGUGCGUAAUAGCUCACUGGUCGAGUGACUCUGCGCGGAAAAUAUAACGGGGCUAAGCAUGAAACCGAAGCUUGGGCUUGUCUUAAAGACAGGGGUAGGGGAGCGUCGAGUAUGGGGUGAAGUCAGAGCGGAAGCACUGGUGGACUGUACUGGAGUGAGAAUGCCGGAAUGAGUAGCGAGAAUUAUGUGGGAAUCAUAAUGGCCGAAAAUCUAAGGUUUCUUGGGGAAGGUUCGUCCGCCCAAGGUAAGUCGGGAGCUAAGCUCAGGCCGAGAGGCGUAGGCGAUGCACAUACGGUAGAAAUUCCGUAACCACCGAAACUUAAACAGAGGGACACUUCGAAAUAGCGGAACCCGGGCGUUGGUUGACCCGGGCGAAAGGGAGCGAAAUUAGAGUAGCGAAGUCCGCGAUGUUCGGAGGCGAGAAAAGCUCUGAGGUAUGCUAAGGUGCCCGUACCGCAAACCGACACAGGUAGAUGAGGAGAGAAUCCUAAGGCCAACGGGAGAAGGGUUGUUAAGGAACUCGGCAAAUUGACCCCGUAACUUCGGGAGAAGGGGUGCUCCAGAGAUGGAGCCGCAGAGAAUCGGCCCAAGCAACUGUUUACCAAAAACACAGGUUUGUGCUAAAUCGAAAGAUGACGUAUACGAGCUGACGCCUGCCCGGUGCUGGAAGGUUAAGAGGAGAUGUGCAAGCAUUGAAUCGAAGCCCCAGUGAACGGCGGCCGUAACUAUAACGGUCCUAAGGUAGCGAAAUUCCUUGUCAGGUAAGUUCUGACCCGCACGAAAGGCGUAAUGAUUUGGGCACUGUCUCAACAGCCCGCCCGGCGAAAUUGUAGUACUGGUGAAGAUGCCAGUUACCCGCAACUAGACGGAAAGACCCCAUGGAGCUUUACUGCAGCUUAAUACUGAAAUUCGGUAGUACAUGUACAGGAUAGGUGGGAGACUGAGAAAUACAGGCGUCAGCUUGUAUGGAGUCGCUGUUGGGAUACCACUCUUGUACUGCUGGGUUUCUAACCUGCGGCCGUGAAUCCGGUCGGGGGACACUGUUAGGCGGGCAGUUUGACUGGGGCGGUCGCCUCCCAAAAGGUAACGGAGGCGCUCAAAGGUUCGUUCAGCACGGACGGAAAUCGUGCAAUGAGUGUAAACGCAUAAACGAGCCUAACUGCGACACCGACGGGUCGAGCAGUAACGAAAGUUGGAGUUAGUGAUCCGGUGGUAUGUGAGUGGAAAUGCCAUCGCUCAACGGAUAAAAGUUACCCUGGGGAUAACAGGCUGAUCUCCCCCAAGAGUCCACAUCGACGGGGAGGUU
rnacentral:rRNA from 1 species